CAGAGAUUUUUCGUUUGUGAGCUUGUUUCUGCCAAAAUGCCUGGUUUGUCCAGUAAAUUAAGAGAAUUGACAGAAGGGAGGAAAACAACAAAAAACACACACAAACUGAUUAAAUGGCGACAAAAGAAAAAAAUACUGAAAAGGAAGGUUAAAUGCAGUUCAUGCAGGCACAAUAUGAAGCUGAUGCUGCGGAGGGCUUGUUUGGACAGAUUUGAAUGGUAUGUAUUUUAUUUUUAUUUUUUAAUAUAGAUUGUAUGUUUAAUAAAAAAGGCUAAAAAAUAUAAUGUACAUAAAUACUGUUAUAAGGAUGACUGUGUUCGUUUGUGUGUGUGUGUGUGUCUGUGAGUGUGUGUGUGUGUGUGUGUGUGUGUAUGUGUAAGUAGUGUAUAUCAAGUCGAGUGGGCACUACAGACAUGUGUUGGAUGACUGGGCACCUGGACAACUGGGCUCUAGGGACAUGUGGGCACCUAGACAACUGGGCAUUAAUACUUUACCUUUUUUGAACUACUUCCAUUUAACUACUUCCUACUUCCACGUAAUUGUUAUUUUUUGGUACUUCUCUUUUGGCAAAUACACUCUUCUAUUGAAUUUUGAAACUCUGAUGUUAUAUACUUUUGACCUCAGAACUAUUUUGGCAAAUAAACUCUUUUGACCUUGCUAUUGUGUCAUGUUGGGGGUUUAAAGAACAGUGCGUCAAACAGCAUGCUAUAAAUGAAGGUGCCUACUCGUCCAGGUGCCCACAUGUCCCUAGUAGUGCUCGGUUGUCCAGGUGCCCACCUGUCCAUUGUUCCCCAUUGUCCAGAUGCCCACAUUUCUCUAGUGCCCAGAUGGUUUGGUGCAUAGAUACUAUAUCUCUGGUGCCCAGUUGGUUUUGUUUAAUGCCCAUCUGACCUGUUACCACAUUAGGUAGGAAUAUACACUCACCGGCCACUUUAUUAGGUACACCUGUCCAACUGCUCGUUAACACUUAAUUUCUAAUCAGCCAAUCACAUGGCGGCAACUUAGUGCAUUUAGGCAUGUAGACAUGGUCAAGACAAUCUCCUGCAGUUCAAACCGAGCAUCAGUAUGGGGAAGAAAGGUGAUUUGAGUGACUUUGAACGUGGCAUGGUUGUUGGUGCCAGAAGGGCUGGUCUGAGUAUUUCAGAAACUGCUGAUCUACUGGGAUUUUCACGCACAACCAUCUCUAGGGAUUACAGAGAAUGGUCCGAAAAAGAAAAAAUAUCCAGUGAGCGGCAGUUCUGUGGGCGGAAAUGCCUUGUUGAUGCCAGAGGUCAGAGGAGAAUGGCCAGACUGGUUCGAGCUGAUAGAAAGGCAACAGUGACUCAAAUAACCACCCGUUACAACCAAGGUAGGCAGAAGAGCAUCUCUGAACGCACAGUACGUCGAACUUUGAGGCAGAUGGGCUACAGCAGCAGAAGACCACGCCGGGUGCCACUCCUUUCAGCUAAGAACAGGAAACUGAGGCUACAAUUUGCACAAGCUCAUUGAAAUUGGACAAUAGAAGAUUGGAAAAACGUUGCCUGGUCUGAUGAGUCUCGAUUUCUGCUGCGACAUUCGGAUGGUAGGGUCAGAAUUUGGCGUCAACAACAUGAAAGCAUGGAUCCAUCCUGCCUUGUAUCAACGGUUCAGGCUGGUGGUGGUGGUGUCAUGGUGUGGGGAAUAUUUUCUUGGCACUCUUUGGGCCCCUUGGUACCAAUUGAGCAUCGUUGCAACGCCACAGCCUACCUGAGUAUUGUUGCUGACCAUGUCCAUCCCUUUAUGGCCACAAUGUACCCAACUUCUGAUGGCUACUUUCAGCAGGAUAAUGCGCCAUGUCAUAAAGCUGGAAUCAUCUCAGACUGGUUUCUUGAACAUGACAAUGAGUUCACUGUACUCAAAUGGCCUCCACAGUCACCAGAUGUCAAUCCAAUAGAGCAUCUUUGGGAUGUGGUGGAACGGGAGAUUCGCAUCAUGGAUGUGCAGCCGACAAAUCUGCGGCAACUGUGUGAUGCCAUCAUGUCAAUAUGGACCAAGCUCUCUGAGGAAUGCUUCCAGCACCUUGUUGAAUCUAUGCCACGAAGAAUUGAGGCAGUUCUGAAGGCAAAAGGGGGUCCAACCCGUUACUAGCAUGGUGUACCUAAUAAAGUGGCCGGUGAGUGUAUGUUCAUGUUGUGUGCGUGUUGUGUGCAUGUGUUUGCGUGCGUGCGUGUGUGUGUUUGUGUUACUAAAGUAGCUGUCGGGUUGCUCAGUAAACAAUUAGACAGCAUGUUUUUUGUUGUACGUUUAAAAAGAACAUCUGAAUGAUUUAGUAUAUGUUCCAUUUCACAUUUUCUUUUAGGAUAUGUCGACGCAACCACCGAACAGUGAGAAG